rnacentral:snoRNA from 1 species
ACGAAAACAAUAACAACAACAAUAAUAACAUGUGCAGUGGCUGCAAACAGCAGCCUCCUGGGUAGUGUAUGCGGCCUGUUGCUUGUAUAAGGGACCCUGGAGACAGCC